GUUUCUUUGGUCGAUCCGGCCGAUUCCGGCGACGGUUUGGCUUGAUUCAGACGGUGACCCAGAUUGAAAUUCGGAGCGAGUUGACUUCGAAGUCGGGGGUUAAUCAGGGACUCGUGCUUGGUAUCGGUAUUCCGAUUUUCAGGUGAGUUCGGUGCAGGAGAUGGUGGUCAGUGACGGGUUGCGUGAGCUGAUGUGUAGCCUCGAGCCGACUAUUCUAGUAGGGGCAUGGAUAUUGGUAUUGUAUUUUGUGUAUAUUACAUGGUUUGGUAUCGAGUGGAUAUAUUCCACUGAUCCGCUGUUGUAUAUUUACUCCAGUGGUUAUUACUCUUAUUAUUACUACAUAUGUUUAUUGGUUUUAAUUAUCGGUUUGGGAAUUGGUUCGGGGGAUGGGGUGUCCCCUGCCGGUCACGUCUCUGUGGAUAUAGGUACACUUUGGUAUACCUUAGGAGAGAGGGGCGUGACACAUUGCUUGUUGGGAAACAUAUUGAUGUUGAUACA